UUAAGAGGCUCAAGAGCAUUGGAAUGAUAGACAAUGUUCCCGGAAUGAAGGCAUUGGACAUGAACACAGCUGAAGAUGCAAUUGUUAGGCUAACUCGAGAGAUCGUGCCCGGGAUGAUCGUUACCGGGAUGGAGGUUGCAGAGAUUGAUGGCGCACCGAGAAUGGUAAGUGCCUAUUCAUUGGGGUUUUUGGAGAGUCAAAAGCUAGUUCUGAGACUCAAGGGUUCAUUUAGAAGGCUUCUGAUUUUGUUUCUGCUUCUGCUUCUGCUUUUGCUUCUUAUGGAGGAGCUUUUAGAGGAAAUUUGAAGUUCUAGAGCCAGUCGGACUUUUAGAAAAUUAUUCAAAUAUGUGAAGAAGCAGCUUCUUAUUCUCGAAAUCAGAUUUUGAUUUUUUACAAGUUCUGCCUAACAGAUUCUAAUAAGCUGUAUAAGAGCAAGGCCGAAGUCAUAUUGUAAUGUUCUUGGUAACUUUAAAAUAGGAACUAAUAACCGUGAUGUUUAUGUUGCAGGGUCCUACAUUUGGAGCGAUGAUGAUAUCGGGCCAGAAGGCGGCUCACCUUGCUUUGAGAACCUUGGGGCUGCCUAACGAGUUGGACGGGACGAAUGUGGGAAAUGUCCAACCGGAGCUGAUCUUGGCUGCUGCCGAUGAUGGUAAUGAGAUUGUGGAAGCUUGAAGAAAGUAGUUUUGAAGUGUACUACUAAUGAAGUAGUAGUAAAUGAAGGGAUGUGAAUAAAAAGUAGCGUUGGACAUCUCUUGAUAUGAGAGAGGCUUUAGUGACUGCUUCAGUGUUUUUAGUGUUCUCUGUGGUAUGAACUUCGGCAGUAUUUAGUACUACUUUUAAGUCUUCCUUUUGCAUCAUUUGCCUUAAUGUCUUCAUGCUCAACGUGUACUUAACUUGCUAUAUGACAAUAUAGAUAAAAGGAUCAUCCGGGGAUUUGUGCACAAGACUCCACCCCCCGUACGGUACAAAGAUUAUUUUGCACUAAUUUUCGCGUUUCAACGUGCCACGUUAACUCGAGCAUGUAAAUUCUUUUUAAAAAAAAAAAAAAAAAAAAGGUUGAACUCCAAC
rnacentral:lncRNA from 1 species